AUGCUGACAUAAGUAACGAUAAAGCGGGUGAAAAGCCCGCUCGCCGGAAGACCAAGGGUUCCUGUCCAACGUUAAUCGGGGCAGGGUGAGUCGACCCCUAAGGCGAGGCCGAAAGGCGUAGUCGAUGGGAAACAGGUUAAUAUUCCUGUACUUGGUGUUACUGCGAAGGGGGGACGGAGAAGGCUAUGUUGGCCGGGCGACGGUUGUCCCGGUUUAAGCGUGUAGGCUGGUUUUCCAGGCAAAUCCGGAAAAUCAA
rnacentral:rRNA from 1 species